CUACGGGACGCAGCAGUGAGGAAUAUUGCGCAAUGGGGGCAACCCUGACGCAGCGACGCCGCGUGGAUGAUGAAGGCCUUCGGGUCGUAAAAUCCUGUCAGAUGGAAAGAAGUGCGAGGUGGUUAAUACCCAUUUCGUUUGACGGUACCAUCAGAGGAAGCACCGGCUAACUCCGUGCCAGCAGCCGCGGUAAUACGGAGGGUGCAAGCGUUGUUCGGAAUUACUGGGCGUAAAGCGCGCGUAGGCGGGUUGGUAAGUCAGAUGUGAAAGCCCACGGCUCAACCGUGGACGUGCAUUUGAAACUGGCAGACUUGAGUAUUGGAGGGGGUGGUGGAAUUCCCGGUGUAGAGGUGAAAUUCGUAGAUAUCGGGAGGAAUACCGGUGGCGAAGGCGACCACCUGGCCAAAUACUGACGCUGAGGUGCGAAAGCGUGGGGAGCAAACAGGAUUAGAUACCCCGGUAGUC
rnacentral:rRNA from 1 species